GUCACGUCAGGUGCUAUUGCCUGUAGCUGUACCGCCAAUGGAUUUAAUGCCUUCUUCCAGCCUCCAAGGUACAUGCAGAACCCCCCUACACACACACACACACACACACACACACACACACACGCACAGUAUACACGCAUGUGCACACAUGCACACACUCACACAGCACAUAUAUGCACAUACACAAUUAAAAGAGCAAAAGGAAUCUAAACAGUGAGUCAUGCUAUUUGUGGCAGCAUAGAUGCACCCAGAGGACGUCAUGUUAAGUAGAUCAGGUACGGCCAAUCAACUUUGUGUGUUCUCACUCUCAUGGCAAGCUUUUGAAAAGCAUGGUUCGCCACUCAGAUUGAACUCAGUGGUUCAGAGCUUCGCACCUGUGAGGACUCCAUCAGAGAACUACAUCCUCAGCCCAGAACGUAGAUUUCCUAGUAAAUAUGGUUAGAGUGAUAGCUCCGUGCUAUCACUUGCUGCUUUCUAAAAGGACCUGGGUUCAGUUCCCAGGUCGGCUGCUUGCAACCACCGCUAACUCUAGUUUACAGCACCUGACGCUUUUCGUUUCGCCUCUGUACCCAUGUGGCACAUGUGCACACAUGUCUAAGCAAAAAUAAAUCUUAAAAAAGGAACUUGCCAUGUUAAUACUGCCCUAUAAAAUAUUAAUCAAACCAAUUAGUCACUCUGAGGGAUUUGAGCUGCCAACAUCCUUUUCUAGGUUCCUGUUCACUCCAUGACACGUUUUGUGUGUACACCAAUAGGAUGCCUUUGACGGAGUAGUGCAUUGAUGCUUUAGAAUUGCCAUCAGUGAUGGGAGAGAUUUUGUUUCCAAAAGUCAGCCUUGUUGCUUAACUAAGAUGUUCUUGCUGCCUUUUAAGAACAAAAUUGACCAGUUAAUACUGUGAAAUUGGCUUGAAGACAUAAUAUGAAUGCUGCCCCGGCAUGCCGUUAGUGUCUGUUCAUGCGAGGGUAAUGCUCGGUGUGUUGAGAAAUGUCUUUAUUGAUUGCGAGGGCAGCAGCAAGCCCGUGGAAACGUGAGUGUGGUGGCGUGUCCCGUGUAACUGGCGACCCGCCCCCAUACCUGCUCACUGCCGAGGAAAGUGUGCCCCUGCUAGAGCCCGGGUUCCCCUUCUGUCCCACAGGGCCUGCCCUGGUCCUAACCGAGUCCUGGGAACACGCAGAAAGCGAGGGAGGGAUCGGAACCCUGGAGCUUUCCUUUCCUCGCCGAAUGCAGUCUGUGCGCUUAGUGAACACGGACUGACCUUACUGGCAAAACAAAAGGCUGAAUUCUAAAAUUCAAUUGCUCAUGACAAGAUAUGUGUGGCAGCCAAGAACGGGUAAAUGAAAACAUAUUUGUUUCUCUGUCUUCAUUCAUAGCAUCCUCGGGAGAUGAGCGAGUUGGGGAUGAAGGUCUUAAGAAUAGUGAAACAGUCGGUUCUUCUUGACGCUCCCCUCACCCUAAGUCUGCCUCCAUUCCAGCUCUCAUCCACUGAGAGGCUCUUUUUGUUUCCAAUUUAAGAGUAGGGCCUGUCUCUUGUUUUCAUAUAACCUCAUUACUUAGCAUGCUUGGCACUGUUUAUUAAAUGGAUAGAUAAUAUUAAAGCCUGCAAAAGAAAAGACAAAUAGAUCACCACGUGAAGGCUGAACGCAAAACUCCAACCAUGUAAAGAAAAAAAAAUUGCCUAAAGUGUUUGGCUCAGUGAGUACAGACUUUGGACAGCCUUUAUUGGAAUAAAAUCUAGAUGUCGAUGCUGAGCCUACCCUCA
rnacentral:lncRNA from 1 species